CAAUUGUCUUUUAAUUGAGGACUAGAAUGAAUGAAUUUAUGGUUAAAUUCUUUAUUUGUAUAUUUUAUUAAAAUUUAUUCAUUAGGUGAAAAUACCUAAAGUUAUUUAUUAGACGAGAAGACCCCAGGAAUUUGAUCUUUUUUUAUUGGGGCGAUAUCUAAACAUCUUUAACUUUAGAUUUUUAAUAAAACGAUUUUUUUAAUUUAAAAUAAAUUACCCUGGGGAUAACAGCAUAAUUUUUUAUAAAGAUUG
rnacentral:rRNA from 1 species